AUUGAACGCUGGCGGCAUGCCUUACACAUGCAAGUCGAACGGCAGCACGGGAGCAAUCCUGGUGGCGAGUGGCGAACGGGUGAGUAAUAUAUCGGAACGUGCCCAGUCGUGGGGGAUAACGUAGCGAAAGCUACGCUAAUACCGCAUACGAUCUAUGGAUGAAAGCGGGGGAUCGCAAGACCUCGCGCGAUUGGAGCGGCCGAUAUCAGAUUAGGUAGUUGGUGAGGUAAAGGCUCACCAAGCCGACGAUCUGUAGCUGGUCUGAGAGGACGACCAGCCACACUGGGACUGAGACACGGCCCAGACUCCUACGGGAGGCAGCAGUGGGGAAUUUUUGGGACAAUGGGCGCAAGCCUGAUCCAGCAAUGCCGCGUGCAGGAUGAAGGCCUUCGGUCGUAACUGCUUUGUUACGGAACGAAACGGUGAGCUCUAAUACAGUUUGCUAAUGACGGUACCGUAAGAAUAAGACACCGGCUAACUACGU
rnacentral:rRNA from 1 species